rnacentral:rRNA from 1 species
UGGCUCAGGAUGAACGCUGGCGGCGUGCCUAAUACAUGCAAGUCGAACGAGUUCUGAUUAUUGAAAGGUGCUUGCAUCUUGAUUUAAUUUUGAACGAGUGGCGGACGGGUGAGUAACACGUGGGUAACCUGCCCUUAAGUGGGGGAUAACAUUUGGAAACAGAUGCUAAUACCGCAUAAAUCCAAAAACCGCAUGGUUCUUGGCUGAAAGAUGGCGUAAGCUAUCGCUUUUGGAUGGACCCGCGGCGUAUUAGCUAGUUGGUGAGGUAACGGCUCACCAAGGCAAUGAUACGUAGCCGAACUGAGAGGUUGAUCGGCCACAUUGGGACUGAGACACGGCCCAAACUCCUACGGGAGGCAGCAGUAGGGAAUCUUCCACAAUGGACGCAAGUCUGAUGGAGCAACGCCGCGUGAGUGAAGAAGGCUUUCGGGUCGUAAAACUCUGUUGUUGGAGAAGAAUGGUCGGCAGAGUAACUGUUGUCGGCGUGACGGUAUCCAACCAGAAAGCCACGGCUAACUACGUGCCAGCAGCCGCGGUAAUACGUAGGUGGCAAGCGUUAUCCGGAUUUAUUGGGCGUAAAGCGAGCGCAGGCGGUUUUUUAAGUCUGAUGUGAAAGCCCUCGGCUUAACCGAGGAAGUGCAUCGGAAACUGGGAAACUUGAGUGCAGAAGAGGACAGUGGAACUCCAUGUGUAGCGGUGAAAUGCGUAGAUAUAUGGAAGAACACCAGUGGCGAAGGCGGCUGUCUGGUCUGUAACUGACGCUGAGGCUCGAAAGCAUGGGUAGCGAACAGGAUUAGAUACCCUGGUAGUCCAUGCCGUAAACGAUGAAUGCUAGGUGUUGGAGGGUUUCCGCCCUUCAGUGCCGCAGCUAACGCAUUAAGCAUUCCGCCUGGGGAGUACGACCGCAAGGUUGAAACUCAAAGGAAUUGACGGGGGCCCGCACAAGCGGUGGAGCAUGUGGUUUAAUUCGAAGCAACGCGAAGAACCUUACCAGGUCUUGACAUCUUUUGAUCACCUGAGAGAUCAGGUUUCCCCUUCGGGGGCAAAAUGACAGGUGGUGCAUGGUUGUCGUCAGCUCGUGUCGUGAGAUGUUGGGUUAAGUCCCGCAACGAGCGCAACCCUUAUGACUAGUUGCCAGCAUUUAGUUGGGCACUCUAGUAAGACUGCCGGUGACAAACCGGAGGAAGGUGGGGAUGACGUCAAAUCAUCAUGCCCCUUAUGACCUGGGCUACACACGUGCUACAAUGGAUGGUACAACGAGUUGCGAGACCGCGAGGUCAAGCUAAUCUCUUAAAGCCAUUCUCAGUUCGGACUGUAGGCUGCAACUCGCCUACACGAAGUCGGAAUCGCUAGUAAUCGCGGAUCAGCACGCCGCGGUGAAUACGUUCCCGGGCCUUGUACACACCGCCCGUCACACCAUGAGAGUUUGUAACACCCGAAGCCGGUGGCGUAACCCUUUUAGGGAGCGAGCCGUCUAAGGUGGGACAAAUGAU